GUGCUUGCUUCAGCAGCACACGUACUAAAACUGGAAUGAUUCAGGAAGAUUAACAUGCCUCUGCACAAGGAUGCCAUGCAAGCUCGUGGCACGGAGCCUUCCGUG